rnacentral:rRNA from 1 species
AAAUUAAUAAAAACGGCCUAAAGCGUGAUUAAAUUAUAUUAAAAUAAAUAGAAAUAAAAAUUAACUCGACUGUUAUACGUAUAUGUUAAACGGUGAAACCAAAAACGAAAGAUAUUCUAACAAAUAAAUUACUUGAACCCACGAAAGCUAAGAAACAAACUAGGAUUAGAUACCCUACUAUGCUCAGCCUUAAACUUUGGAACAACCCGCCUGAGUACUACGAGCCACAGCUUAAAACUCAAAGGACUUGGCGGUGCUCUACACCCCCCUAGAGGAGCCUGUUCUAUAAUUGAUACCCCCCGCUAAACCUCACCACUUAUUGCCAAUACCGCUUAUAUACCGCCGUCGUCAGCUCACCAUUUAAAUGAAAAAUAGUAGGCAUAAUGAUAAACAUAAAAACGUCAGGUCAAGGUGUAGCGAAUUAGGUGGAAAGAAAUGGGCUACAUUUUCUAAACUAGAAAAUACGAAAAAUUUUAUGAAAAACUAUUUAAAGGUGGAUUUAGCAGUAAAAAGAAAAUAGAGUGUUCUUUUUAAAUAGGCCAUAGAGCGCGCACACACCGCCCGUCACCCUCCUCAGAAAAACCC